AACAUAUUAAUUUCAGAGACUCUGGCUCUGUGUUAAUACUCAAACAUUCAGAACUUAUAAGAGUGAAGAAAGAAGUGUACAUUCAGGUAUGGAAGAGGCAACACAAUGAACAAAGUCCAAAUCAAGAAAUCUAAAAACACAAAGGGAUACUGUACUUUAAAAAAAAAGGCAUAACGUUAUAUUGUCUAUGAAAUAUUAGUGUUUUUGGAAGUGUGUAAGGAAGUGUGUAUUUUUUUAAUGAUCCUUUGUUGCUAGUCAUGUAGACAGUAUCAGAUGUAAGAUAACAUCAAGACCAGAUAUAAGAGAAUAAUAAGAACAAUGGAAGAUGCUUUUUGUGCUAUUGUGUAAGAUUUAAAGUGAUUACUGUGUCUUCAUGCUAAAGUAUUCUCGGCUUACUUUCUUUGUUUUGGUGUUAGGACAGACACAUGUACAUCUUGUACUUUUUGUGUUUGUUGGAGGAAUAGUAUGAGAGCUGAAAAAGUCACAUGACAAUACCCCUCACACAGUUUUCAACAGCUACUUGACUAUUUGUUUUGCUCGAGGAGAAAAUCAGCACCGAUCCUGUUUCAUGUUUAACGUGCACCUACAAACAUGUAUUCUUUCAAUGUGAAUGUGUGACCUUGUAAAGGAGUUACGUCACCUACGUUUGACGAGGCGGUGACUGAGUUAUGACGUGUGAGUUAAAAGACACGAGCGCAACAGAGACAAGGAAAAACGCAGCACAAAGUAACCUAACAAGAAAUCACAGAA